AAAAGAGUUGUUAAUUUGUUCUCCAACACAACAAGCCCUGACAGAGACUCAACAAGUGAAAGCUAUCUUCGGAUACAAAGCAAUAAUAAAGAUGCUGAAACUGAUCUUACUCUCCUGCCUUGUGGCCUGUGUCGUGGGUCAAUCAUACCGAUCCAGCAGAGGAAGGGGGGAUUCAUUGCUGUUUGGUGGUAUCCGUGGUAACAGGUGGGCCACAGGAUUGGAUCGCUUGGGGUCGGAUCUCUGGGACAAUGACGCUUGGGAUCGUGAUUCAUAUGGAAACGUCUUGAACCGACGUGGAGGUAGAAUGUGGAGAGGCAGAAGAGGAAACAGAUUCGACAGGAGAAUAGACUUAUUCGACAGGAGAGCAGACAGAUUCGACAGGAGAGCAGACAGAUUCGAUAGGAGAGCAGACAGAUUCAGUAGGAGAGGAGGAUACUGAUGAAAAGACAAACAAGUUUUGAAAAGAUCCGAGUGGCCAAAGAGUGAAAUAGAAAAAUCCAUACCAACCAUUCCAUUGAUACAUUCAUUUGUAAAUUCAUAUCAAUCAUUUUUUUAAUAAAUUAUUAUAUUAAUCAAUUAA